rnacentral:misc_RNA from 1 species
GUGAAGAACGUAGCGAAAUGCGAUAAGUAAUGUGAAUUGCAGAAUUCAGUGAAUCAUCGAAUCUUUGAACGCACAUUGCGCCCGCCAGUAUUCUGGCGGGCAUGCCUGUUCGAGCGUCAUUUCAACCAUCAAGCCCCCGGCUUGUGUUGGGGACCUGCGGCUGCCGCAGGCCCUGAAAACCAGUGGCGGGCUCGCUAGUCACUCCGAGCGUAGUAAUACAUCUCGCUCAGGGCGUGCUGCGGGUUCCGGCCGUUAAAAGCCUUAUUUACCCAAGGUUGACCUCGGAUCAGGUAGGAAGACCCGCUGAACUUAAGCAUAUCAAUAAGCGGAGGA